AAACUCAAAGGAAUUGACGGGGACCCGCACAAGCAGCGGAGCGUGUGGUUUAAUUCGUUGCUACACGGAGAACCUUACCUGGGUUUGACAUAUAGGUUGUAGGGAACUGAAAAGGGACCGACCCUUCGGGGAGCCUAUACAGGUGUUGCAUGGCUGUCGUCAGCUCGUGUCGUGAGAUGUUCGGUUAAGUCCGCUAACGAGCGCAACCCUCGUCGUAUGUUAUAUGUGUCAUACGAGACUGCCGGUAAAAGCCGGAGGAAGGUGAGGAUGAUGUCAAGUCAGCAUGACCUUUAUAUCCAGGGCUACACACACGCUACAAUGGUCUGUACAAUGGGUAGCCAAGCCGCGAGGCGGAGCCAAUCCUGAAAGCAGGCCUCAGUUCAGAUUGCAGUCUGCAACUCGACUGCAUGAAGCCGGAGUUGCUAGUAACCGCAGGUCAGCAAUACUGCGGUGAAUACGUUCCCGGGUCUU
rnacentral:rRNA from 1 species